rnacentral:tRNA from 1 species
GGGGCUGGGGCUCAGUGGUAGAGUGCUUGCCUAGCAUGUGUGAGGCCCUGGGUUCGAUCCUCAGCACCACCU